rnacentral:rRNA from 1 species
UGAACGCUGGCGGCAUGCUUUACACAUGCAAGUCGCACGGCAGCGCGGGCUUCGGCCUGGCGGCGAGUGGCGAACGGGUGAGUAAUGCAUCGGAACGUGCCCAGUAGUGGGGGAUAGCCCGGCGAAAGCCGGAUUAAUACCGCAUACGACCUGAGGGUGAAAGCGGGGGACCGAAAGGCCUCGCGCUAUUGGAGCGGCCGAUGUCGGAUUAGCUAGUUGGUGGGGUAAAGGCUUACCAAGGGGACGAUCCGUAGCUGGUCUGAGAGGACGACCAGCCACACUGGGACUGAGACACGGCCCAGACUCCUACGGGAGGCAGCAGUGGGGAAUUUUGGACAAUGGGGGCAACCCUGAUCCAGCCAUGCCGCGUGCGGGAAGAAGGCCUUCGGGUUGUAAACCGCUUUUGUUCGGGAAGAAAUCCUCUGGGCUAAUACCCCGGGGGGAUGACGGUACCGGAAGAAUAAGCACCGGCUAACUACGUG